rnacentral:rRNA from 1 species
AUUGAACGCUGGCGGCAUGCCUUACACAUGCAAGUCGAACGGUAACAGGUCUUCGGAUGCUGACGAUGGGCGAACGGGUGGGUAAUACAUCGGAACGUGCCUAGUAGGGGGGGAAAAUUACUCGAAAGGGUGGCUAAUACCGCAUGGGAUCUACGGAUGAAAGCGGGGGAUCGAAGAACCUGGGCCUACUAAAGCGGCCGAUGGCAGAUUAGGAAGUUGGUGGGAAAAAAGCUUACCAAGCCGACGAUCUGUAGCUGGUCUGAGAGGACGAUCAGCCACACUGGGACUGAGAAACGGCCCAGACUCCUACGGGAGUCAGCGGUGGGGAAUUUUGGACAAUGGGCGCAAGCCUGAUCCAGCAAUGCCGCGUGCAGGAUGAAGGCCUUCGGGUUGUAAACUGCUUUUGUACGGAACGAAAAGCCCCGGGUUAAUACCCUGGGGUCAUGACGGUACCGUAAGAAUAAGCACCGGCUAACUACGUGCCAGCAGCCGCAGUAA